CUGCUAAGAUAUGCGUAUGCGAAGUCAAUAUCACCCAACCAUUACCGCACACUUCCAACAGGGAGGACUCGUCUGAUCAUUUGCCAUAAGAUUACGCACAUGCAUACAAGAACCCGAUCAUAUAACUCACUCUCUGAUAAGAGAUAUCAUCUCCCGUAAUCACGAAGAACGAUCCUGUCGGAGUAAAUCCGAUCGCAUAUCACACACGGCUCAGGUACAUAUGAUCAAUCUGCAGAUAGGGAGCGACGAUCAGAUAUAACUCGACUCCUGAGUAGAUCACGCGCGCGCGGAACAAAUAUAACAUUAAACAAAAUUUAAAAGUGUUGCCUUUGCCCAGUGUGAGGAUUUUGAUGUAGUUUCUCAGGAGAAGAUUAAGUGGGAAAUACGUCAGUAGCUCCGAUGUGGCAGGAGUAGAUUAUACUUCUUGAGAUCGGCCUUUCUUCGACACCAUGGUGCAAUAGCAUGCAGAAGGUGAUGUUGUGGUGCGAGUUCGACAAUGGCAUGUCAAGCAGCGGGGUGGCCGGCAUGGCGCCGGUAGUCUUUCUCCC